rnacentral:rRNA from 1 species
AUGAACGCUGGCGGCGUGCCUAAUACAUGCAAGUCGAGCGAACGGACGCGAAGCUUGCUUCUCUGAUGUUAGCGGCGGACGGGUGAGUAACACGUGGUUAACCUACCUAUAAGACUGGGAUAACUUCGGGAAACCGGAGCUAAUACCGGAUAAUAUUUUGAACCGCAUGGUUCAAAAGUGAAAGACGGUCUUGCUGUCACUUAUAGAUGGAUCCGCGCUGCAUUAGCUAGUUGGUAAGGUAACGGCUUACCAAGGCAACGAUGCAUAGCCGACCUGAGAGGGUGAUCGGCCACACUGGAACUGAGACACGGUCCAGACUCCUACGGGAGGCAGCAGUAGGGAAUCUUCCGCAAUGGGCGAAAGCCUGACGGAGCAACGCCGCGUGAGUGAUGAAGGUCUUCGGAUCGUAAAACUCUGUUAUUAGGGAAGAACAUAUGUGUAAGUAACUGUGCACAUCUUGACGGUACCUAAGCAGAAAGCCACGGCUAACUACGUG